AGUUAUCUGAACCUUCGGGGAACGAUAACGGCGUCGAGCGGCGGACGGGUGAGUAAUGCCUAGGAAAUUGCCCUGAUGUGGGGGAUAACCAUUGGAAACGAUGGCUAAUACCGCAUGAUGCCUACGGGCCAAAGAGGGGGACCUUCGGGCCUCUCGCGUCAGGAUAUGCCUAGGUGGGAUUAGCUAGUUGGUGAGGUAAGGGCUCACCAAGGCGACGAUCCCUAGCUGGUCUGAGAGGAUGAUCAGCCACACUGGAACUGAGACACGGUCCAGACUCCUACGGGAGGCAGCAGUGGGGAAUAUUGCACAAUGGGCGCAAGCCUGAUGCAGCCAUGCCGCGUGUGUGAAGAAGGCCUUCGGGUUGUAAAGCACUUUCAGUCGUGAGGAAGGUAGUGUCGUUAAUAGCGGCAUUACUUGACGUUAGCGACAGAAGAAGCACCGGCUAACUCCGUGCCAGCAGCCGCGGUAAUACGGAGGGUGCGAGCGUUAAUCGGAAUUACUGGGCGUAAAGCGCAUGCAGGUGGUUUGUUAAGUCAGAUGUGAAAGCC
rnacentral:rRNA from 1 species